GGUUAAUUACAUAAUAACCAUUGAGGGUAAUAUGUUGUUUGUUCUUCCUAUAGAGGAAAGAUAGACUUGCCCUAAAAGCUUUUUCAUGGCUAGGACAAGCUCUUAUAGAGAGAGGUAAUGUACGUCUGACUCCUGAAAAGGAAUAUUGGUGGUCCAAUAUGGGAAAUUCUGUAAUUCAUGUAUUUAGUAAUCAUAACCAUUUGCUUAUUGCCACAUUACUG